UACGUAGGUGGCAAGCGUUGUCCGGAAUUAUUGGGCGUAAAGGGCGCGUAGGCGGUUCUUUAAGUCAGAUGUGAAAACCCGAGGCUCAACUUCGGGCGUGCAUUUGAAACUGGGGGACUAGAGUGCAGGAGAGGUAAGUGGAAUUCCUAGUGUAGCGGUGAAAUGCGUAGAUAUUAGGAGGAACACCAGUGGCGAAGGCGACUUACUGGACUGUAACUGACGCUGAGGCGCGAAAGCGUGGGGAGCAAACAGG
rnacentral:rRNA from 1 species